rnacentral:rRNA from 1 species
CCCUACGGGGUGCAGCAUGCGCGAAAACUUUACAAUGCGAGCAAUCGUGAUAAGGGAACUCCGAGUGCCUGUAAAAUCAGGCUGUCCGCCAGUGUAAAUAACUGGCGAAGAAAGGGCCGGGCAAGACCGGUGCCAGCCGCCGCGGUAAUACCGGCGGCUCGAGUGGUGGCCACUAUUACUGGGCUUAAAGCGUUCGUAGCUGGCCUGUUAAGUCUCUGGGGAAAUCUUCCGGCUCAACCGGAAGGCGUCUCAGGGAUACUGGCAGGCUAGGGACCGGAAGAGGUGAGAGGUACUCCAGGGGUAGGAGUGAAAUCCUGUAAUCCUUGGGGGACCACCUGUGGCGAAGGCGUCUCACCAGGACGGCUCCGACAGUGAGGAACGAAAGCUGGGGGAGCAAACCGGAUUAGAUACCCGGGUAGUCCCAGCUGUAAACGAUGCGCGUUAGGUGUAUCGGUGACCACGAGUCACCGAGGUGCCGAAGAGAAAUCGUGAAACGUGCCGCCUGGGAAGUACGGUCGCAAGGCUGAAACUUAAAGGAAUUGGCGGGGGAGCACCACAACAGGUGGAGCCUGCGGUUUAAUCGGACUCAACGCCGGGAAACUCACCAGUUAAGACAGCUGAAUGAUAGUCGGGCUGAAGACUCUACUUGACUAGCUGAGAGGAGGUGCAUGGCCGUCGUCAGUUCGUACUGUGAAGCAUCCUGUUAAGUCAGGCAACGAGCGAGACCCG